rnacentral:rRNA from 1 species
GACGAACGCUGGCGGCGUGCUUAACACAUGCAAGUCGAACGGAAAGGCCCUGCUUUUGUGGGGUGCUCGAGUGGCGAACGGGUGAGUAACACGUGAGUAACCUGCCCUUUACUUUGGGAUAACUUCAGGAAACUGGGGCUAAUACCUGAUAGGAGCUCCUGCUGCAUGUUGGGGGUUGGAAAGUUUCUGCGGUUGGGGAUGGACUCGCGGCUUAUCAGCUUGUUGGUGGGGUAGUUGCUUACCAAGGCUUUGACGGGUAGCCGGCCUGAGAGGGUGACCGGCCACAUUGGGACUGAGAUACGGCCCAGACUCCUACGGGAGGCAGCAGUGGGGAAUAUUGCACAAUGGGCGGAAGCCUGAUGCAGCAACGCCGCGUGCGGGAUGACGGCCUUCGGGUUGUAAACCGCUUUCGCCUGUGACGAAGCGUGAGUGACGGUAAUGGGUAAAGAAGCACCGGCUAACUACGUG